UACGGGGGGGGCAAGCGUUGUUCGGAAUUACUGGGCGUAAAGGGCGCGUAGGCGGCCUGUUAAGUCGAAUGUGAAAUCCCCGGGCUCAACCCGGGAACUGCGUCCGAUACUGGCAGGCUUGAAUCCGGGAGAGGGAUGCGGAAUUCCAGGUGUAGCGGUGAAAUGCGUAGAUAUCUGGAGGAACACCGGUGGCGAAGGCGGCAUCCUGGACCGGCAUUGACGCUGAGGCGCGAAAGCCAGGGGAGCAAACGGG
rnacentral:rRNA from 1 species